rnacentral:rRNA from 1 species
CAAUAGCGUAUAUUAAAGUUGUUGCAGUUAAAAAGCUCGUAGUUGGAGUUCAGAGUGAGCUCGUCCGUCGGCCUAGCGGUUGCAGAACUGGUUGACUCUCUCUUGUUUGUGGAUCCUGUCAGCAGUUAACUCUGUUGAUGUGGAGUCCACAUCGUUUACCUUGAAAAAAUUAGAGUGUUCAAAGCAGGCGUUUGCUUGAAUAUAUUAGCAUGGAAUAACACCAUAGGACUCCUGUCCUAUUCUGUUGGUCUUCGGGAUGGGAGUAAUGAUUAAGAGGAACAGUUGGGGGCAUUCGUAUUUCAUUGUCAGAGGUGAAAUUCUUGGAUUUAUGAAAGACGAACUUCUGCGAAAGCAUUUGCCAAGGAUGUUUUCAUUGAUCAAGAACGAAAGUUAGGGGAUCGAAGACGAUCAGAU